rnacentral:misc_RNA from 1 species
AUUAAGUAAGACUCAUCACAACUGACAAACUUGUUUGCAGUUAAAAAAGAGAAAAAAAACUAUGGAUGGAUCUUGCAAAAACUAUUAAGAUGACUGACUUGAGAGUUUUAAGCACUGUCCAUUUGGAUGUUGCUGCUGGUUGAGUUCCGUGGAUUAGUGCCAAAGGGGCUAGCGGAGAAACCGUUUUGAGUUUGGCCAGCACCGAAUGUAAACUCGUGGGAAGGUACGUCCAUGGUCGGGCGGGAAAAGAUCGAUGUUGCACCAAUGCUGUUGAAUGGAGUUGUAGGAACUGGGUCGCCAGUCUUUGGGAAGCCAAAGCU